rnacentral:rRNA from 1 species
UCGGCAUACGAUGGAUCCGCGUCCGAUUAGCCAGUUGGCGGGGUAGAAGCCCACCAAAGCGACGAUCGGUAGCCGGCCCGAGAGGGCGGACGGCCACAUUGGGACUGAGACACGGCCCAAACUCCUACGGGAGGCAGCAGUGGGGAAUAUUGCACAAUGGGGGGAACCCUGAUGCAGCGACGCCGCGUGGGUGAAGGAGUACUUCGGUACGUAAAGCCCUAUCAGCAGGAAAGAAAAUGACGGUACCUGACUAAGAAGCCCCGGCUAACUACGUGCCAGCAGCCGCGGUAAUACGUAGGGGGCAAGCGUUAUCCGGAUUUACUGGGUGUAAAGGGAGCGUAGACGGCAGUGCAAGUCCGGAGUGAAAGCCCGGGACUCAACCCUGGGACUGCUCUGGAAACUGUAAAGCUGGAGUGCGGGAGGGGCAGGCGGAAUUCCUGGUGUAGCGGUGAAAUGCGUAGAUAUCAGGAGGAACACCGGCGGCGAAGGCGGCCUGCUGGACCGUAACUGACGUUGAGGCUCGAAAGCGUGGGGAGCAAACAGGAUUAGAUACCCUGGUAGUCCACGCCGUAAACGAUGAUUACUAGGUGUCGCGGAACGAAGUUCUGCG